rnacentral:lncRNA from 1 species
GAUGCAUGACUUCUUUGCCACCCAUGUCUUGAUUAGACAAGUUCACCAGAGAAGACAUCACAGAUUGGGUUCUGAGUAUCUGCUUUCUGCCACAUGAGAGACUGGUUCCUUCUCAUCUUUUUCAUCACUUGGUUUCAUUUGGUAUAUCUCUUGGGAGCUGGCAUUCAGAUGUUCCACAGGAUUCUGUCUGUGCCCAGACACCAUCAUGGCUCCUACACUGCCUUAAAAGGCCACAUUGGCACUUGGGCAAUGAUAUUUGAAUUUAACCCUUGAGUGCAGACAUUUACCCAAGUUUCUAAGUACCGUAACCAGCUUCCUAAUGGACUGCUCUGCCUAGAUGACUCAUAGGGUCCUGGAACUCAGUGUAUCAAAAGUUGCUCUCAUCACUUAUCGCUAGACAUUAUCUAACUCAUUUCAUGGCCUCAGCAUCUACUCAGGCACCCACAUAAAAAUCUUCAAAGUUGUCAAAUUUGGAUGUGUUAUUUCUGGGGCAUUCCAUCCUCUGUUUUUCACAGUAAUCUAAAUGAAAAACUGAUCAUCAUUCUACCCAAAGUCCUAGGGUAGCCCUUCUCUACCAGAAAGAGCCAACCUGGAGGUUCUGGGAGGAGGAACUUGGGCUAAGGUAGCAGUGGGG